CACGACAUGCAAGCGAAAUUUUGUAUUUGUGGACGACAAUGCAAAGUCUAUAUUGUGCUGUUUCUUUUCGCCUUUCAAAGUCAGUUGACACAACUGAAGACACUCCUUCUUUUCAGAAAUCAAGUACGGACGUUCAGGAGCAUUCUGCCUCUAAAAUUUUAGAAAAGACUGCUUUAUUUUAGCAGUAAUAUCGUCGUUAGACUAAAAGGUGACGUUGUUCAACAUCCAACGGCGUCAAGUCGAAGUAUAAACUGAAAGAUUGUAUCGACUUGGAUUUUACAAGAUGAUGCAGAAGACUCCUGAACCUUUGCAUUCAAAAGAACUGUCGUCUUAACUCGUCUUUAUUGACUUGAAAAAGCAACAAGAAAAGAUCACCGAUUUUUGCUUAGGCACGGUUCAAACGUCGUGCUUUUCAUGAGCCAAACCUAAUUCAUAUUUGGUACGACAAAGUACGACGUGGCUCGACGUCGAUUUAAACGUCGAACUUAAUUUGUCGAAUUUAACUGUUUAUAGUAAGCCUUCGGUUGCUUUAGGUCCUGAAGUGAUAAUUAUGCAAUACAUGUAAUAUAUUCAUAGUGAUUUACACACAUCAUAUGACUUUUUGUUAA